rnacentral:rRNA from 1 species
UACGUAGGGCGCAAGCGUUGUCCGGACUUAUUGGGCGGAAAGAGCUCGUAGGCGGGUUGUCACGUCGGAUGUGAAAGCCCGGGGCUUAACCCCGGGUCUGCAUUCGAUACGGGCAGACUAGAGUGUGGUAGGGGAGAUCGGAAUUCCUGGUGUAGCGGUGAAAUGCGCAGAUAUCAGGAGGAACACCGGUGGCGAAGGCGGGUCUCUGGGCCGAUACUGACGCUGAGGAGCGAAAGCGUGGGGAGCAAACAGG